rnacentral:misc_RNA from 1 species
GUCUCUUUCCAUAGGCAUUUCAAGUUGUUUACAUCUCCGAAAACACCCACAAUGUUCUCCCAAAUUCAGAUGUUCUCUCACUCUCCCCUCUAAUUCAAUCCAAUUGAAUUCUCCUAAAACCAGAAAUCUCUCUCCCGUUUUACAAACUGAAACCCCAAUUCAUCUUAUCUCUCCCAAAUUCUACUACCUAUCUUUCCUUUCUAUGACUCUUUCUUUUCCUCUCAACUCCCUUGCCUCCUCUGGAACUACACCACCCA